AAAGAGUGUUUUUGAGGAAAAGAAAAUGAAAAACCUGAGUUGUCUUUACCAUUUCCUGCUAUGUUAAACAACAAAGUUGGCUCAAGCACGUCUCCUUCUUUUGUGUGACUUCCCUCUUUCUUGAUUUCUUCUAUUUUUAGCAAUCUCUCUCUCUGCCUGCACAAGAGAACCAACACCUUCAAAUCAACCGAAAGACAAAGAGAGAAGAAGAAGGACGAGGAGGAGAUUUUGAAGUUUAUGUGAUAAAGAUACCAUCUUUCAGUUUUUGGGUUUCUGUUUUCAAUGAUAUAAACGUUUUGAAUGCACAAGUGAUUCAAAAUUUAAGGCUCCAAUAGAAUUUGAGGAAUCCCAGGAACGGUUAAGCGACAGCCCAUUUCAUAUCUGGUGUUAUAUACGGUGGGGUUUUGAAACGUGAAUUAGUAUCUGCAUCGAUUAUGUGAACAGUGUGAAUUUGUGAUUCUGGGUUGCAGCUUUUGUUGUCCUUAUUAAUGGAGGGUGGGAUUUAGAGGCUUAAAAGGCUGAAAUGUACGCGAUGAGCUCAGUGUUUUAGAAGAUGGAUACCAAGGAAGAUGCUGAAUCACAAGAGGAUCGGUCAAAAGAAGACCAGCCAUCAUCCCCAUAUGUGGUGUUACAGAAUAUAUCUGAGGAGAUUGUUGGUGAGGCACUGCAGAAUGCCUUUACAGGUAAUCAAACUCCUCAGCCAACUCCACCGGCUCAUAGACGAAGUCAAAGUGAAGUUAUAACCCGGGGACACAUGCGAACCAGUAGUUUUCAGAGGCUGAAAACUCAGAUGCAAAAGGCUUGGCGAUGGGGUGGCAAUUCGCGGGAACAAGAUUAUAGUUUCAAUCCUGAGGUCUUGGCAAAUCAGAAACGUCAGUGGUAUCAGCUUCAUUCCAAAACUCUGGACCAUACAAAAUUUAAGGAGCCCGCCUCACUAUUUGAACACUUUGUUAUUGUGGGGCUUCAUCCUAAUGCCAAUCUUGAGGCUGUGGAGGAUGUAUUUGCAAGAAGGAAGAAAUGGGAGUUUGAGGCAGCAAAAUCUGAUACAAUAGCAUACAAAAGGCUGCAGUAUCAGGGGCCUACAUUUCCUUCAAUGGAACCCCAGAUACUUUUUAAAUAUCCUCCUGGGAGGAGAUUACCUAUGCGCCUAAAGGAUUUAGGUUCCUUCUGUUUUCCUGAAGGUGUUAAGACACGGUUAUUAGAGAGGACUCCAUCAUUAAGUGAACUAAAUGAACUUAUUUAUGGACAGAUGCAUAUGGGCAGGGAUGAUCUAGCAUUCACAUUUUCACUUAAGGUUGCAGAUAAUGACACACUUUAUGGGGUUUGCUUGCAUGUAACAGAAAUUGUUCAAAGGCCACCUGGUAUUUUAGGCACCAUGUCGCCCCUUUCACGGUUGUCUGGACAGUGCUGCCGCUUUUUGGUUUCUGCACCUCGCUGCUACUGUUUGCUAACUAGAGUUCCUUUCUUUCAGUUACACUACGAGAUGCUGAACAGUAUCACUGCACAAGAGCGUUUGAAUCGGAUAACACAAUUUGUUAGUGAAGUAUCGCUGAGUAGUGUCCAUUCAGCAUCCAAACAACAUGAACGAAUGAAUAUGAAUGUUGACUACCCUGAUAGGGGGUGCGAUGUUGAUUGGAUGGCUUCUGCAAUACCCAUUGACAGUGCAAUAGCGCUUACUGCUGCUGCUGCUGGAAUUGUAUCAGAUGAUGACAUUCGAACCUCAUCACCAAAGACAUGGGAAUCUCAUUCUCCUGAAAGUGGUUCUACUAGUGAGGCUUCAGAUUUGAGUCAAGUGAGGGAAGUAGAUAGGGAUGGUAGGAAGAAUUUUGAUGAUUGUGCUUCUGAGUCAUCAGAAACUCGUUCUGAUGCUUUGGAAAGAAUUAAUGGGAGCUAUGAAAAUGGCCAAGCCUCUCCUCAGAUUGGGACAUCUAACUUCUCUAGGAGCCAUAGUUUGGUAUGCCAAGGAAGUUUUGAUACCCUAUUCAGUCCAGUUAGAAGCAUGUUAUUAGAGGAUGAGGAUGAUGAAAUUUUUGCAAAUUGUGAAAAAGUUUUUGAUGGUGGCUUAAUAAUGGAAUGGGCUAGGGUUAGUUUAUUUUCCCUUAUUUUUAUACAUUUAUUAUUUCGCAUAGUUGAUGUUUUAACUACCAUUGAAUCAAUUUUCUUUUGGGUGUGAACUCUUGGAUAGAAAAACAAAAAUGAUUUGCUGCAGAUGGUAUGUGAUUAUCAUUCCAUGCGUCUUCCCCAACGAGGAAGUGAAAUAGUUUUUAAGCCUCUUGAACACUUACAAGCUAUCGAGUAUAAGAGGCCUCCAGUUUCUGACCUAGGAUUUUCUGAAUAUUAUUUAGCUAUGUUUGAAGCUACUGAGGUCAAUGCAAAGCUAGCUGCUGCUGAAGAAGCUUUUGCAUUAUCAAUAUGGACAACUGCAACUAUAUGUCGAGUUCUGUCACUUGAAAGUGUAACGUUCUUGUUAUGCAAAGUUGCAUUGGAUUGAUUUCAACAGUGUUUGGUACAUCAAUUUCUUGGGAGUGUAAUGUUCUCGUUAUGCAAAAUUGCAUUGCAUUGGUUUUUUUUUCGGGCUGUUUGCUACUCUGCUUACUUGAAAUUUCCUCAAUUAAUUACUGUUCUUGCAUCAAUUUCUUUAGUGUUAUUAGGGGGUAAUGGGCAUGGACUUCUGCAAUAGUAAAUUCUUGGUCAUGAAAUCAGAGGAGCAGGUUUGAGGCUUCAAAGCAGUGUCUUUUAGGGACCCUGCUUCAGAGGGAUCUUAGUUGGGUGAUAGUCUACCUUAUUGGGGUACCCUGCUUCAGCAUUUUGCAGCUUUAGAUCAUUUUGAAAAUAUAGGGCUAAUCCAUGUGCAAUGCUGAAAAUGGAACCAUCACUGCUGCUUCUUAUUGCAGUGAGUAGAUCUACAAAGCGGAACCAGAAAAACUUGACGUUAUAACAGUCUGUGACAGAUUGUUUUGAAGCCUUUCUAUGGAUCAACAAUGUCUUUUUGGAACUGCAAAUUAUUGUUUUGAUGCUAGUUACAGGAGUGUUACUAGAAAAACAAGUGGUGGUAGUAUGUCCAAACCUGUUUUGGCAGUUCUUGUUCCCUACCAAUGGCUUAUCUGAAUAGGCUUUUUGGCUGACUUUAGUUUCAACCAAUUCAGGGUGUUCUAUCGGCUAUAGUGUUAUCUCUUGUUCCCAUCAUUCGUCCAUUUCAAUGGCAGAGUUUAUUUCUUCCAGUUCUGCCAGGGAGGAUGCUUGAUUUUCUUGAUGCUCCAGUUCCCUUUAUUGUUGGCAUACAACAAAAUCCGGCAGACUUGAAGAUGAAAACAUCUGAUCUCGUCCAUGUUAAUGUGGUCAAGGAUCAGGUUUUUUGUCUUUGGAUUUCAUUUUAUUUUCCUGCUCUAAAAUUUGUAGAAACACAUAUUUUCAGUUAUCCUUUAAAACUUUUUACAAAUUUUUUUUCCUUAUAAUCAUGUACAUGGACUUUGAAAUUUGAGUCAUUGAAAUAAGCUCUUUUACUAUAUGUUUAGGUGACCCAAGAAUAUUAUUCAUUAUCAUAACAAAGCACCAUCAUUUCUUAUUAGAAAUUAAAAUUUUCUAUUGGCCCAGCCAUGUUAUGUGUAUUUUUUAAACAAAUUAUCUUAAAAAUUAAUGAGUUCCUUGGUGUUCAUACUGUUGUCCAUUUUCCCCCUUAUUUUUCUUUUUCUAAUUUUCAGGUAAAAAUGUGCCACCUGCCAGCACUUCCACGGUAUAAAGAGCUUGUUUCCGAACUUGCACCAUUUCAUGCUAAACUAUCAAUUCAAAGUUCGAUUGCUAAAAAGCAUCCUGUAUACAGGUGCAAUGAAACUCAGGCUGAAGCUGCAACCCAAUUUUUGACCAUUAUGAGACGCUACUUGGAUUCUAUUUGUUCAGAUUUGAGGUCCCACACAAUAACUAAUGUACAAUCAAACAAUGACAGGGUUUGCUUACUUCUUAAAGACAGUUUUAUUGAUUCGUUUCCCAGUAGGGACCGACCGUUUAUAAAGCUAUUUGUAGACACACAACUAUUUGCUGUUCUAUCAGAUCAUCGUUUGUCAAGCUUUGAGCAUGGGAGCCCCUAAGCCCCUAAAUUAAUCCUUUUUACAAGUUCAAUACAUGAGAUCAAAUUCUUAAGCAAUGCAGUGGAAGAAUAAUGGCUUCUGUUGCUGGGUUCUGCGAAUUAUGUCAAUCUAUUCACUUUUGGAGCCAUUAAAUGUGAAACUGAGGUGCAGCUGCUGGAGGUUGCACAAAGCAAAUUUGUAACAUAGCAAGAUAGCAAUAAUUGCAGAUGCCUAACAAGUAAAACCAAGGAUAUGCCUGUUGUAUUGCCCACAAGAAAUGACAAGUGGAAAUGACCUUGAUCCCAAUCUUUUAAGGGGAUUAUGGUCUUGGGCUUAUCAAGCUCUUGUAAAUGUCAAUAGCAUGAUAAAACAUUUUCUGAGGGGAUUCUGAGGGGACUUUUUAUUCCCCUGCUUUAUCUUUUAGAUUCACUCUGUAUGAUUUUCAAAUGGAUAGACAAAUUUUUGCGGCAGGAUUUUGUGUUAUUUCUAGAGUUUGAUGUAGCUGUACCAUUCCAGACAAAAAUAGCUGGCAUAAAGAAAACAUUUAAGAAAUAAACACAGAAAUC
rnacentral:misc_RNA from 1 species